CGCAACCGUUCCAUCUACUCCAAAUGCUGAAGGCGAGAGGUGCUGUGCGCGCCGUUGAGGGAGGAGGUGCUGUGCCACUGGAGAUCUUCUCAGCAUCACCGAGCUCGGAGGGAGAUUAGUUGUGGCCACGCCAGCUCCAGCGCAUACAGUCCAACAUUUCAGGAUAUUUCAGAGAUGCAGGUGAUUUUGAGGGUAAAUCAAAAUUUCACAAGACACCUACGCAACUGUCCUGUCCUGACACAUGGAUGGCUCCGCUUGAUUUUCAGCGAAGACAGUUCAGCAGCAUGUCGGAUGCGGUGAACCAUCAGGACGCGCUGUGCAAGAGGGAAGGAGCUAAAAUGGAUAAUUCUAUUAAAAUCUGAAGUGCUAUAUACUCAUAAAUUACAAGAAUUUGCUGGAGGCAAAGCAGUUGACUUUCCUUACUGUGCUAAAACGAAGAUAUUCACUCCUGCUUUUGGAAGACUUGCCACAUCUUUCAAUUCAAACGAAUGACUGUGUGAAAACGGGGACAUCGUAAAUGCAUAAAUAGUGAGCACAAGCCAGUUCACAGCAGGAGGGUAUCUAUAUGAAACCUCAUUUAUUUUGGUCAAACUUUCCAUAACCCCUCUCUGUGUUAUCAGACUGAGCAAACAAGGUUCAGAUAAAAACUAAUGAGUUUCAUGAAAUUAAUUAGCUUAACAUUAUUAAGGUGUAAAGUACUGUGAUUACACAUUUGCUAGUCUCUAAGAAGUUGAAAGAGUUUGUGAAAACUCAACAAACCAUUUAGUAGUGCACUUUUUGAAAAUAUCAAAUAUAAUGUGAUCAGAAAGCACUGCAGAUCUAACUUUGGCUUAAUAGGACUUUUUUUCUGAAACACAAGUUGUGUCAUUGCAUUAAAGUUUAAUGAAGGCUAAGGUUCUGUAUUGCAAGGCAUAUUUCCCUACAUGCACU